UUGUAUCAAAUUAUUUUACUCAAGCAAACAUGUGGCCUCUUCCACAAUUGCUCACUCUUACAAAAUCUGUGACCUAUGCACUUCCCCCCAGCAAUACUCUGUGCUAAAGAUCACUUGCCUGUUUUCUCCUCCUCACCCUGUUCCCCACUCUGCUGAGACAGCCUGACUGCUGGGGUUUGACAGAGACACUGUUCAGGAGGCAGUUUGCUAAUGUGCCUUGCUUGUGGGGCUUGUUAACCCAGGGAUGCACAGGUGUUAGAGGGAAACAAGGAAACAAAUUGGAGCAAGAUUCACAUCCUAAGCAGCAGCAGCAGAAGCCCUCUCCAGGAAAGGGAGCCUGGAUGGAUUGUAAUGCACAUGGAUAGACUGAAAUGCUCAGCAGAUGAUUUUGCUUAAAUCUCAAAUGCAAAUAUGGGAGCAUUUUCCCAAGAUCCUGCAUUAUUCCUGCUGCUAAACAUACUCCAGGAGUUCUCAGGAAAUGAGGACAACAGAAAGCUGCAGAUCCCAUGAAUGUAAAAAUUGUCUUGAAGGCAUGGAACAAUCCAGCCCUAAUUACAGCCAGCUGAAGCCUGCUCUCUUUGCACUGAUACUUAGGAACACACUGCUGCUUUAAUUGUGCCUGCCCAAGAGUCACGCUGCAUCUUUGCAGUUAAGAUGAAGACAGGUUGGAGGAACAGGCUGAGGAAGAGCCUGUAGAGAACCUACUGGAAGAAUUAAGGACCUUUCCUGGGAAAAGGAGCAGAGCUCUUUGGAGUUUUUCAAGGAGACAGCACUGUCCGGUUCUUUUGGGGUUUCAUUUGUGGGGCUGGUUUUUUUCCCUCCUCUGGUAUUCUUGUGACUUCAAGUGUGAACACAUUUGUGAGUGACAAAGUUGGCAGAAAGAAGGCAAACACAAAUCAUUUGUAUAGCAGCAGCCACAAAUAACAAGGAGCAAAGUACUUAAACUUCUGUGCAAAGCAAACACAGCCUACGGAGGGCACAGGCUGAGCAGCACAACCAGAACACCUUGACAACAAUUAUCACCACAAAAGGACCUUUUAGGACAUCUGAAGGGAAGAUUCUGAAAUAGCUCUGCAGAUGAAUAGCAACGAGUAAAAUUAGAAAGAACCAUCCUAAGAGAAAACACACAUUAUGUGCUUGAAAAUGGACUUAAUGAGAAGGGUGAAUACCCUCUCAUUGAAGGCAGGUAAGGGAACAGCCACUAAAUUAGACUUCAGCUUGUGGCUCAUUGUCUAAAUGGAGAUAUGAGAGAUGAGUCAAAAGCCUACUCUAGAUGGAGAAGAUUGAAUCUUCUCCUAACCCGAGUGUUACCAAACAAUUUGCUUUUGCAGAUGGGAUUGGCCAGAAAUAGGAUUCAAGAGAAGAAAAUGAAUGAGAACUGAGGCCUGCAAAGCCUCCAGGAAUGUUGAGGGGACACCACAAUCCUUCGUAGUUUUGAGAACCUCACACAGCAGCAAAAUUCUUCUUUGCAUAUUAUCAAGUUCUUUGAAAUAGAAAAAAUAGCCCUGAAGGAAAGAGAAAUCAGCCAACACUUCAUGGCGUGGAAUGGCUGCACUGAGAGAUUAUUUAAAGUGUCUGCAUAAGGAGAUGUGUUUGUGUAGAAUGUUAACCCAUUCCAAAAUGUCUUUUUUUUUCUGGCUAGAAGAACAAGAGACAGGGAACUUUGUGGAUUCAGGCAGGAUGCUGCAGUUCAAGCAGCUGGCCAGGGGAGGAGGGAGGAUGGAUUUCUCCUCCUUUAGUGUCCACCAGCCUGCAGGACCUGUUCUCAAACUGUGGACACCUCUGGGCAAAUGUCUAUAGGGAACACCAAACCAGGAAACAUUGCCAGAGCUGUAUCUAUAUAACAAAAUAUCAAGUUACACACAUUUUUAAAUUUUACCUGCAUGGAAGUAUUUGCACUUCUGUCCUAAAAUUCUGCAGGUUUUGCCCAGCAGUACAAAGGGUUCUCCUUGCAUUUCUUUUUUUGCUUGUGCAGCUGCACUCCAACACCUCUGGCACAGCUGGAGAUGGCAGAGAUUCACUGCCACAGCUGGAUAUAAAUCUGGUGUUCCUGUGGCUUGUGAGGAUCACUGAGGUGUUUUAUAGGUGCCACAGAAAACAUUUUAUCUCCAACAUCAGCAUAUUGCACAUUAAAUGGUAGCUAAGGCAACAGGUGGCACAGAGAUCACAGAUACAUUUGUCAUUGUACUCACAAGCAGCACAGGGGCUUAAAAAUACACAAUCUACCACUCCAAAAGAAAAGACUCAAGCCACUCCACAUUCACUUCAGUUCCAGUGCCCGGUACUAUAGAUUAAUUUAAAACAUUUGAAGUUAAUUGACAAAGAUGUGCAAUCCUUUUUAGCUGCUGCUCCCAAGAGGCAAUUCACACGGAUGGAGUACAUGGAGCUGCACACGAGUCCCUCUCCAUUUUCCCUUGGCUUUCUGUGCAGGCUCAGGCAGCAGAAGCUCCUCUGCAUGGAAAGAGCUGCCAUGUGCCUCGCUCCCCUCGCCUGUCCUCACAGCACAAAGGGCAGGAAUGCUCAAGAAAUGAAUCACAAACAUCCCAGCUCUCAGUGCCAGGGCUGGAGCAGCUCCCCGGCCUGUCAGGCUGUGACAGCCAGGGCUAAAGGGACACCUCCUCACAAGAUGAGGAACAGGAAGGCCGUUUCAAACCCCUCCAUCUGAAUUAUGAUUGCUGACUGUAUAAGGAGGCAAAAACGGAAGCAAAUCCACAAGGAAACAAAGCAUUGUUUGGGAAAGGUUUUUCCUAUUCAUGUUGAUUGCAAGUGAACUCUUCCCGAGCUGUGAACAACUGGUGAUGCUUUAGUGUUCAGUACAUGGCCUGAUUUUAUCAUAAAAACUCGUCCUUGCCUUCAGCUGCCUGUCAGAUUUGCCAAGCUGAUAGAUUCUGGCAACACUUGUGCUGUUUAAUGUCUCAGCAUGUUGUAUCUUGGACACAAACCCCUGCAAAAAUACCUAAUUAUAAAUAUUUACAUUUGUUAUCCUUUUUGCAUGAUACAGUAAAGAGAGGGAAAACAGAUUCUUUCCACUGAAUCAGUAAACCAUGACAACAUCACAGGGUCAAUUAUCCAUGAGCAAAGCAUUCAAGGGGAUUGAAAUCCCCUUGAGUGGGAUUCCACAGUGCUCCCACACACGGUGUGCAGGCCAGCUUUGCCCAGGAGGCUGCAGGGAGCACCUGGCCCAGAAAACACCAGGAAUUCCAGGAAUGGCCCCAGAGGGACAUUGCUGCUGGUUGGUGCUGAGCUCCUGAGAGGCCACUCAGGUGGUGGCAUUUUGAGGAGUCAUUACCCAGCCAAGGAAGAGAUGUGCUCUUCUUUCAGAGUAAUAACUCCUUCACUUCCAAAUGGUCUCCUUGGGCAAAGAAAUGCUGUCCACAGAAUAGAUCCACUCUUGAAGGAUACAGGGAAAGCAUCAGUACAGGGAAUGUGCAGCCCUUGACAGAUAUGUUAAUACAAAUUCACAGAGGUACACAACAAACUCCAAAAAAGUUUAAAAGUCAAAACUUCUGAUACUUUAAAAAUAUUAAACACACGAUGACUGUUUAAAAUAGAACUGAUUCAUGGGGAGAAAGGAAGCACUUAAUGACUUGCUCAUGCUUAAGGACUCUUAAAUAAAACAAGUAUCUGUUA